GAGUAAUUCGCAACCUCUAAAAUGCUACUACACUUCCAAGCUGAGGAGUAAUCCACACUCUAACAAGGAAGAAACUAGCUCUGAUAUGUGAAGUGAGUUCAGUCUCGACAAUUUGUCACGGACACAGAAAUACAGGCUCGAGAUCUAAGAAGAAGUUUAAGAAGAACUGGCAAGAACUAGAUUAAUCAGAUGAAUACAAGAACA
rnacentral:lncRNA from 1 species